rnacentral:rRNA from 1 species
UCGAAACCUGCCCAGCAGAACGACCCGUGAACGUGUUCAUAAAACAGGGGGUCCAAUAGCGGGCUUUUGCCAGCUUUGGGCCUUCACAAGGCCUUGAUCGGGUGAUUCGGGAGCGCGGGCCUAGCCCCCCCGAUUUCCCUCGUUCUUGGUUGCUAACAAACCCCCGGCGCGGAAAGCGCCAAGGAAUUUGAAAUAAAAUUACCAAUCGCCCUCAUUGCCCCGGAAACGGUGCGCAUAAGGGAUGUGAUUGUGAUUUGAGAAUCUAAACGACUCUCGGCAACGGAUAUCUCGGCUCUCGCAUCGAUGAAGAACGCAGCGAAAUGCGAUACUUGGUGUGAAUUGCAGGAUCCCGUGAACCAUCGAGUUUUUGAACGCAAGUUGCGCCCGAAGCCUUUUGGCCGAGGGCACGUCUGCCUGGGUGUCACUCAAACGUCGCCCCAACCCUUCCUCUUUGAAGGGGUUGUAAUUUGGGCGGAAUAUGGCCUCCCGUUUGCUCUACGCGUGCGGUUGGCCCAAAUGUCCGGUCCUCGGCAUCGUGGCCACGGCAAUCGGUGGUUGUAUGACCCUCGCUUAAUGCUGUGAGUGAUAUGGUGUUGUGUGACCGACGAGGCCCCAAAGCGUGCCGUAAGAUGCGCUCGCAAUGCGACC